rnacentral:rRNA from 1 species
AGCAGCCGCGGUAAUUCCAGCUCCAAUAGCGUAUAUUAAAGUUGUUGCAGUUAAAGAGCUCGUAGUUGAAUUUCGAGAUCAAUUUGUCGGUCGUGCCUCGGUACGUACUGGCAUUAUUGAUUUCUCCCUUCUGAAGAACCGCGAUGUCAUUAAUUUGGUGUCGUGGGGAAUUAGGACUGUUACUUUGAAAAAAUUAGAGUGUUUAAAGCAGGCUCACGCUUGAAUACAUUAGCAUGGAAUAAUGAAAUAGGACGUUUGAUUCUAUUUUGUGGUUUCUAGGAUCGACGUAAUGAUUAAUAGGGAUAGUUGGGGGCAUUAGUAUUCAAUUGUCAGAGGCGAAAUUCUUGGAUUUAUUGAAGACUAACUACUGCGAAAGCAUUUGCCAAAGAUGUUUUCAUUAAUCAAGAACGAAAGUUAGGGGAUCGAAGACGAUCAGAUACCGUCGUAGUCUUAACCAUAAACUAUGCCGACUAGGGAUCGGAUGAUGUUAAUUUUUAAUGACUCAUUCGGC